AGCCUGCCCAGUGACUUAGUUCAACGGCCGCGGUAUCCUAACCGUGCGAAGGUAGCGUAAUCACUUGUUCUUUAAAUGAGGACUAGUAUGAAUGGCAUCACGAGGGCCAUACUGUCUCCUUUUUUUAAUCAGUGAAACUAAUCUCCCCGUGAAGAAGCGGGGAUAAGUAUAUAAGACGAGAAGACCCUAUGGAGCUUUAAACAAACUAACAAUUGUUUCAAAAACUCUACUUUCAGAAAUACCACAAAAAGCAUAACAUUUUGAUUUAAAAUUUUAGACUGGGGUGAUCACGGAGUAAAAAAUAACCUCCAUGCUGAAAGGUAAAAAUCCCUGAGCAAAAAUCCACAACUUCAUGCACUAGAAAACUAACAUAAAUUGACCCAAUAUUUUGAUCAACGAACCAAGUUA
rnacentral:rRNA from 1 species